rnacentral:rRNA from 1 species
GACGAACGCUAGCGGCGUGCUUAACACAUGCAAGUCGAACGGUAAGGCUCCAGCUUGCUGGGUACACGAGUGGCGAACGGGUGAGUAACACGUGGGUGACCUGCCCUGCACUUCGGGAUAAGCCUGGGAAACUGGGUCUAAUACCGGAUAGGACCAUGGUGUGGAUACUGUGGUGGAAAGUUUUUUCGGUGUGGGAUGGGCCCGCGGCCUAUCAGCUUGUUGGUGGGGUAAUGGCCUACCAAGGCGGCGACGGGUAGCCGGCCUGAGAGGGUGGACGGCCACAUUGGGACUGAGACACGGCCCAGACUCCUACGGGAGGCAGCAGUGGGGAAUAUUGCACAAUGGGCGGAAGCCUGAUGCAGCGACGCCGCGUGGGGGAUGACGGCCUUCGGGUUGUAAACUCCUUUCACCAUCGACGAAGGGUUUCUGACGGUAGAUGGAGAAGAAGCACCGGCUAACUACGUG